rnacentral:pre_miRNA from 1 species
CCCCGGGGAAAUGAGGAUGUGGCAGUGAUGCUUGCUCUCUUCUCUUCUCCGGCACA